ACACGCUCACGCCCAACCACACACAGUCAUGCGAGUUCCAUUAACUGCAAAGAGGAGGCUGGAAAGUGAAAGUAAACUUGUUCAGAGCAGAGGAAGCAGAAGUGAAGUCAGAGUUUGCUCUCUGUCAAUGUCAUGUUUUUCCUCUCAGACUGAAGAUGAGUAGUUAUGAGGAGGAAGAGGAGGACAGAGCAGAGUCUCCAGUGUUCAGCUGUGUGUCUCUGAAGAGUGACCGGUCCAAAUAUAUUCCUCCAAACUUCAGUAAUGAACCUGGACCCUCACACACA